rnacentral:rRNA from 1 species
GGUAAUACUUACUGGAGGUCCGAACCCACGCACGUUGAAAAGUGCGGGGAUGAGGUGUGGGUAGCGGAGAAAUUCCAAUCGAACUUGGAGAUAGCUGGUUCUCUCCGAAAUAGCUUUAGGGCUAGCCUCGAGGUAAAGAGUCAUGGAGGUAGAGCACUGUUUGGACUAGGGGCCCUUCUCGGGUUACCGAAUUCAGAUAAACUCCGAAUGCCAUGUACUUAUACUCGGGAGUCAGACUGCGAGUGAUAAGAUCCGUAGUCGAAAGGGAAACAGCCCAGACCACCAGUUAAGGUCCCCAAAUAUAUGUUAAGUGGAAAAGGAUGUGGGGUUGCUUAGACAACCAGGAUGUUGGCUUAGAAGCAGCCACCAUUGAAAGAGUGCGUAAUAGCUCACUGGUCGAGUGACCCCGCGCCGAAAAUGUACCGGGGCUAAACAUAUUACCGAAACUGUGGAUGAACCUCUUUAGAGGUUCGUGGUAGGAGAGCGUUCUAAGGGCGGUGAAGUCAGACCGGAAGGACUGGUGGAGCGCUUAGAAGUGAGAAUGCCGGUAUGAGUAGCGAAAGAAGGGUGAGAAUCCCUUCCACCGAAUAUCUAAGGUUUCCUGAGGAAGGCUCGUCCGCUCAGGGUUAGUCGGGACCUAAGCCGAGGCCGAUAGGCGUAGGCGAUGGACAACAGGUAGAGAUUCCUGUACCAGUGCUAAUUGUUUAACCGAUGGGGUGACACAGAAGGAUAGGGAAUCGCACGAAUGGAAAUGUGCGUCCAAGCAGUGAGUGUGAGAAGUAGGCAAAUCCGCUUCUCGCGAAGCAUGAGCUGUGAUGGGGAAGGAAAUUAAGUACGGAAGUUCCUGAUUUCACGCUGUCAAGAAAAGCCUCUAGGAAGAGUAGUACUGCCCGUACCGCAAACCGACACAGGUAGAUGAGGAGAGAAUCCUAAGGUGAGCGAGAGAACUCUCGUUAAGGAACUCGGCAAAAUGACCCCGUAACUUCGGGAGAAGGGGUGCUCUAUUAGGGUGCAAGCCCGAGAGAGCCGCAGUGAAUAGGCCCAGGCGACUGUUUAGCAAAAACACAGGUCUCUGCAAAACCGUAAGGUGACGUAUAGGGGCUGACGCCUGCCCGGUGCUGGAAGGUUAAGAGGAGUGCUUAGCUUCGGCGAAGGUACGAAUUGAAGCCCCAGUAAACGGCGGCCGUAACUAUAACGGUCCUAAGGUAGCGAAAUUCCUUGUCGGGUAAGUUCCGACCCGCACGAAAGGCGCAACGAUCUGGGCACUGUCUCAACGAGAGACUCGGUGAAAUUAUAGUACCUGUGAAGAUGCAGGUUACCCGCGACAGGACGGAAAGACCCCGUGGAGCUUUACUGCAACCUGAUAUGGAAUGUUUGUACCGCUUGUACAGGAUAGGUAGGAGCCGAAGAGACGUGUGCGCUAGCAUACGAGGAGGCAAUGGUGGGAUACUACCCUGG